UGCAGGGUACUCGAGUGGCGAACGGGUGAGUAACACGUGGGUGAUCUGCCCUGCACUUCGGGAUAAGCCUGGGAAACUGGGUCUAAUACCGGAUAGGACCAUCGUUUAGUGUCGGUGGUGGAAAGUUUUUUCGGUGUGGGAUGAGCUCGCGGCCUAUCAGCUUGUUGGUGGGGUAAUGGCCUACCAAGGCGUCGACGGGUAGCCGGCCUGAGAGGGUGGACGGCCACAUUGGGACUGAGACACGGCCCAGACUCCUACGGGAGGCAGCAGUGGGGAAUAUUGCACAAUGGGCGCAAGCCUGAUGCAGCGACGCCGCGUGGGGGAUGACGGCCUUCGGGUUGUAAACUCCUUUCAACCAUGACGAAGCUUUCGGGUGACGGUAGUGGUAGAAGAAGCACCGGCUAACUAC
rnacentral:rRNA from 1 species